rnacentral:rRNA from 1 species
UUGCCCUAGUAACGGCGAGUGAAGCGGCAACAGCUCAAAUUUGAAAUCUGGCCCUAGCGGUCCGAGUUGUAAUUUGUAGAGGAUGCUUUUGGUUAGGUGCCUUCUGAGUUCCCUGGAACGGGACGCCAGAGAGGGUGAGAGCCCCGUACGGUUGGACACCGAGCCUCUAUAUAGCUCCUUCGACGAGUCGAGUAGUUUGGGAAUGCUGCUCUAAAUGGGAGGUAAAUUUCUUCUAAAGCUAAAUACCGGCCAGAGACCGAUAGCGCACAAGUAGAGUGAUCGAAAGAUGAAAAGUACUUUGAAAAGAGGGUUAAAUAGCACGUGAAAUUGUUGAAAGGGAAGCGUUUGCGACCAGACUUUUUCCAGGCGGAUCAUCCGGUGUUCUCACCGGUGCACUUCGCCUGGUUUAGGCCAGCAUCGGUUCCCUUAGGGGGAUAAAGGCCUGGGGAACGUAGCUCCUUCGGGAGUGUUAUAGCCCCUAGCGUAAUACCCUUCGGGGGACCGAGGAACGCGCAUCUGCAAGGAUGCUGGCGUAAUGGUCGUCAACGACCCG